GACGUAGGGCGCGAGCGUUGUCCGGAUUUAUUGGGCGUAAAGAGCGUGUAGGCGGCCUUACAGGUCAGCUGUGAAAACUCGAGGCUCAACCUCGAGACGUCGGUUGAAACCGUAAGGCUAGAGUCCGGAAGAGGAGAGUGGAAUUCCCGGUGUAGCGGUGAAAUGCGCAGAUAUCGGGAAGAACACCCGUGGCGAAGGCGGCUCUCUGGGACGGUACUGACGCUGAGACGCGAAAGCGUGGGGAGCGAACAGG
rnacentral:rRNA from 1 species